rnacentral:rRNA from 1 species
AUUGAACGCUGGCGGCAUGCUUUACACAUGCAAGUCGAACGGUAACAGGCCUUCGGGUGCUGACGAGUGGCGAACGGGUGAGUAAUGCAUCGGAACGUGCCCAAUCGUGGGGGAUAACGUAGCGAAAGUUACGCUAAUACCGCAUAAGCCCUGAGGGGGAAAGUGGGGGGACCGCAAGGCCUCACGCGAAUGGAGCGGCCGAUGUCAGAUUAGCUAGUUGGUGGGGUAAAGGCCCACCAAGGCGACGAUCUGUAGCGGGUCUGAGAGGAUGAUCCGCCACACUGGGACUGAGACACGGCCCAGACUCCUACGGGAGGCAGCAGUGGGGGAAUAUUGGACAAUGGGCGCAAGCCUGAUCCAACAAUGCCGCGUGUGUGAAGAAGGCC